rnacentral:rRNA from 1 species
UACGGAGGGAGCUAGCGUUAUUCGGAAUUACUGGGCGUAAAGCGCACGUAGGCGGCUUUGUAAGUAAGAGGUGAAAGCCCAGAGCUCAACUCUGGAAUUGCCUUUUAGACUGCAUCGCUUGAAUCAUGGAGAGGUCAGUGGAAUCCGAGUGUAGAGGUGAAAUUCGUAGAUAUUCGGAAGAACACCAGUGGCGAAGGCGGCUGACUGGACAUGUAUUGACGCUGAGGUGCGAAAGCGUGGGGAGCAAACAGG